UACGUAGGGUGCGAGCGUUGUCCGGAAUCAUUGGGCGUAAAGAGCUUGUAGGCGGUUUGUCGCGUCUGCUGUGAAAAUCCGGGGCUCAACCCCGGACUUGCAGUGGGUACGGGCAGACUAGAGUGUGGUAGGGGAGACUGGAAUUCCUGGUGUAGCGGUGGAAUGCGCAGAUAUCAGGAGGAACACCGAUGGCGAAGGCAGGUCUCUGGGCCACUACUGACGCUGAGAAGCGGAAGCAUGGGGAGCGAACAGG
rnacentral:rRNA from 1 species